GAGCUUUGGAUUUAGAAUUUGAAUGUACCGUGUUAGAGCCAGACCCAGUAGAGACAUGUUGCUUAAUAAGCCCGGAUGGUGAUUGGGUCACACGCUCCGGUGAACAAAUCCCCAAUUUGGACAUUGAGGAUUCUCCCACACAUAGAACUGGAACCAUUUGGUCACCCAGAAAAGUUACAUUCUAGUUCGAAAUAACCUUAGGAGGUUCCUCCUUAACUAGUUGAAUAUUAUCAAACAUUUGGCGUGUAUUCCCAAUUUUUUCUAGUUUUUCCUCUUUUGCAAAGAGAUUUACAUCAUCAAUUGAAAGGCCAAGAGCUGAGAUAAAUUCCAUGAUAUGUAGAUUUUUCUUCCGUUCAGCAAUAGAUUCGUCUUUAUCCUUCCUUGAGAAAAAUUGAGCAGUUUUAAAGAUGUCUUGUGCCUCGGCACUAAGAACAUUUUACUUCCAAGUUAGCAUCUAACGAGACAGAAUCAUCUGAGAUGAUAAAAAUAGGAACAGGAAUGGCCAUAGAUUCUGCCAUCUCAACAAUAUUCCCCACCAGAAGAGAAUUAGAAGAGGAGUUUGGGUUUGAACUAGCAAAACCUAAGAUACCAUCAAUAGGAAUAGGUGCCGAUUCAACCAUAUCAGGCUCAACCUUCUGUGGAGAAUUUACAUUUUAAACCCCUAAAUCAGUAAAAAUAUCAUAAGACAGACUGCUCUUAGAAUUACUAGCUGAGAAAUGAGAGCAAUCAAUUAUGGCAGUGGAGAAAGAUAAAGAAGAGAAAGGAGAGAAGAGGAAAAGAGAAAUCUGAAGAAAAGAAUAGCAGAUCAAGAAGGAUCAACCAGGGAUGAGGUUAGAGAGAAGGAGGAGCGAAAAAAGUAGAGAGAUAAGCAUUUCUCCGAAAAUGAUGACCAGAGUUUGCCNNNN
rnacentral:lncRNA from 1 species